ACUGCUCAGUAACACGUGGACAACCUACCCUCGGGAGGGGGAUAACCCCGGGAAACUGGGGCUAAACCCCCAUAGGGGAUAGGUGCUGGAAUGCCCUAUCCCCGAAAGUGCACGGUUGCCGUAAGGCGCCGUGCAGCCCGAGGAUGGGUCUGCGGCGGAUUAGGUAGUUGGCAGGGUAACGGCCCGCCAAGCCGAAGAUCCGUACGGGCCAUGAGAGUGGGAGCCCGGAGAUGGACCCUGAGACACGGGUCCAGGCCCUACGGGGCGCAGCAGUCGCGAAACCUCCGCAAUGCGGGAAACCGCGACGGGGUCAGCCGGAGUGCCGGUGCAUUGCACCGGCUGUCGGGGAGCCUAAAAAGCUCCCCACAGCAAGGGCCGGGCAAGGCCGGUGGCAGCCGCCGCGGUAA
rnacentral:rRNA from 1 species